rnacentral:rRNA from 1 species
CAGUAGCCGCGGUAAUACGUAGGGUGCAAGCGUUAAUCGGAAUUACUGGGCGUAAAGCGUGCGUAGGCGGCUUCUUAAGUCGGAUGUGAAAUCCCUGAGCUUAACUUAGGAAUUGCAUUCGAUACUGGGAAGCUAGAGUAUGGGAGAGGAUGGUAGAAUUCCAGGUGUAGCGGUGAAAUGCGUAGAGAUCUGGAGGAAUACCGAUGGCGAAGGCAGCCAUCUGGCCUAAUACUGACGCUGAGGUACGAAAGCAUGGGGAGCAAACAGGAUUAGAUACCCCUGUAGUCCCUGUCUCUUAUAC